UACGUAGGGGGGCAAGCGUUUGUCCGGAAUCAUUGGGCGUAAAGAGCGUGUAGGCGGCCCGGUAAGUCCGCUGUGAAAGUCGGGGGCUCAACCCUCGAAUGCCGGUGGAUACUGUCGGGCUAGAGUGCGGAAGAGGCGAGUGGAAUUCCUGGUGUAGCGGUGAAAUGCGCAGAUAUCAGGAGGAACACCAAUUGCGAAGGCAGCUCGCUGGGACGUAACUGACGCUGAGACGCGAAAGCGUGGGGAGCAAACAGG
rnacentral:rRNA from 1 species